rnacentral:rRNA from 1 species
AUCGAACGCUGGCGGCAUGCCUUCCACAUGCAAGUCGAACGGCUGCGGGGGAGAAGCUUGCUUUUCCUGCCGGCGAGUGGCGAACGGGUGAGUAAUACACCGGAACGUGCCCUGCAGUGGGGGAUAACUCGUCGAAAGAUUAGCUAAUACCGCAUACGACCUGAGGGUGAAAGCGGGGGACAGCCAGGCCUCAUGCUACAGGAGCCGCCGAUCUCUGAUUAGCAAGUUGGUGGGGUAAAGGCCUACCAAGGCGACAGUCAGUAGCUGGUCUGAGAGAACGAUCAGCCACACUGGGACUGAGACACGGCCCAGACUCCUACGGGAGGCAGCAGUGGGGAAUUUUGGACAAUGGUCGAAAGCCUGAUCCAGCAAUGCCGCGUGUGUGAAGAAGGCCUUCGGGUUGUAAAGCACUUUUGUCCGGAAAGAAAUGGCUCUGGUUAAUACCUGGGGUCGAUGACGGUACCGGAAGAAUAAGGACCGGCUAACUACGUGCCAGCAGCCGCCGCGG